UUCACAAUUUUAUGAAAUACUUGUUCAUUUGAGCACUGACUCUACACCAAUCAUGUCAAGUACACGUACCCUGCAAGUGUUGGCUGUAUUCCUGAUAGUGUGUGUUCUGGCUGAAUGUGUCUUUGCUGACGCCUUACCUGAUGAAAAUGAGCUUGUAGAGCAAAGUAGAAUUCGCCGAGACCCAGG